rnacentral:rRNA from 1 species
AUUGAACGCUGGCGGCAUGCCUUACACAUGCAAGUCGAACGGCAGCAUAGGAGCUUGCUCCGGAUGGCGAGUGGCGAACGGGUGAGUAAUAUAUCGGAACGUGCCCUAGAGUGGGGGAUAACUAGUCGAAAGACUAGCUAGUACCGCAUACGAUCUACGGAUGAAAGUGGGGGAUCGCAAGACCUCAUGCUCCUGGAGCGGCCGAUAUCUGAUUAGCUAGUUGGUGGGGUAAAAGCCUACCAAGGCAACGAUCAGUAGCUGGUCUGAGAGGACGACCAGCCACACUGGGACUGAGACACGGCCCAGGCUCCUACGGGAGGCAGCAGUGGGGAAUUUUGGACAAUGGGGGCAACCCUGAUCCAGCAAUGCCGCGUGAGUGAAGAAGGCCUUCGGGUUGUAAAGCUCUUUUGUCAGGGAAGAAACGGUAGUAGCGACUAACUACUACUAAUGACGGUACCUGAAGAAUAAGCACCGGCUAACUACGUGCCAGCCGCCGCCGUAA